CGCCCAAGAGUUCAUAUCGACGGCGGUGUUUGGCACCUCGAUGUCGGCUCAUCACAUCCUGGGGCUGAAGUAGGUCCCAAGGGUAUGGCUGUUCGCCAUUUAAAGUGGUACGCGAGCUGGGUUUAGAACGUCGUGAGACAGUUCGGUCCCUAUCUGCCGUGGGCGCUGGAGAACUGAGGGGGGCUGCUCCUAGUACGAGAGGACCGGAGUGGACGCAUCACUGGUGUUCGGGUUGUCAUGCCAAUGGCACUGCCCGGUAGCUAAAUGCGGAAGAGAUAAGUGCUGAAAGCAUCUAAGCACGAAACUUGCCCCGAGAUGAGUUCUCCCUGACUCCUUGAGAGUCCUGAAGGAACGUUGAAGACGACGACGUUGAUAGGCCGGGUGUGUAAGCGCAGCGAUGCGUUGAGCUAACCGGUACUAAUGAACCGUGAGGCUUAACCUUACAACGCCGAAGCUGUU
rnacentral:rRNA from 1 species